rnacentral:rRNA from 1 species
UACGGAGGGAGCUAGCGUCGUUCGGAAUUACUGGGCGUAAAGCGCACGUAGGCGGCUACUCAAGUCAGGGGUGAAAGCCCGGGGCUCAACCCCGGAACUGCCUUUGAAACUAGGUAGCUAGAAUCUUGGAGAGGUCAGUGGAAUUCCGAGUGUAGAGGUGAAAUUCGUAGAUAUUCGGAAGAACACCAGUGGCGAAGGCGACUCGCUGGACAAGUAUUGACGCUGAGGCGCGAAAGCGUGGGGAGCAAACAGG